UACGGGGGGAGCAAGCGUUGUUCGGAUUUCCUGGGCGUAAAGGGCGCGUAGGCGGCCAGCGCAAGUCAGUUGUGAAAUCUCCGAGCUUAACUCGGAAAGGUCAACUGAUACUGCGCGGCUAGAGUGCAGAAGGGGCAACUGGAAUUCUCGGUGUAGCGGUGAAAUGCGUAGAUAUCGAGAGGAACACCUGCGGCGAAGGCGGGUUGCUGGGCUGACACUGACGCUGAUGCGCGAAAGCCAGGGGAGCGAACGGG
rnacentral:rRNA from 1 species